ACUUCAGCUCGCGUCCUCGGCCGCGCCGGACUGCACGGCCCGCGCCUCUCCGCACCGCACCCCGGCCCGGCGGCGGCCGGCAGCCGGCAGAGAGCAGGCGGUGGUUCUCUUCUGCGCCUUUCUCCUCCUCAGGGCGGCUGUGGAUGUUGCCUUUUAUUGUCGAUCCUACGUAGCGGCGUUUUCGCUGCGGCACGGACGGGCCGGGUCUUCCUGUUCUUUAUUUUCCUGGAGGCCGACCGGAGCGGGCCCCGAGUUCGGUGGUGGUCGUGUGCGUGGGGGGCGCUCAGGUCCGGACCGGCUCGUAGGCCGCUCACGCCGUUGCAGCUGCUCGUCAUUAGCUCUCGGGAGCCGAGCUCGGGGCGGCCCCAUAGAGGACGCCCGCAAUCCGACGGCUACCGUGCAUUUUUUAAAUGGUUUCCCUGCAGCCGGGUGGAUGGAUGUAUCGUAAUGUACGCCCUUCUCUCCUUCUGAGAGGCCGAACUUUACGCCCGUCUCUGCAUUAUUUCUGCGGAGUAAGAACGCACCCCUUGGAGGAGAAGAAGAUUCUCAGCUGGAUUGAAUUGGAGUCGCGUUUAUGAUGCAUUUAUUUCUGGAAAUAUGUGGUCUUUUCUGGUCUUGCUUUUUGUUGGCGGCGGUUUGGGCUCUUGCCUAACAGUCGGGAUAAAGGCCUGUAGGCGACGCUGUUCGAGCCAGGAGCCGGCUCAGCGGGCCCGGAGCGCGCGAGUCCGCGCCCCCCACUAGGUGUGGGUGGAGCCGAGCGCGCGACGAGAGCCGGCGGAAUGCGGGCCGCGGGUGGGCCUGGGGCCAGCCGAUUUCAGACACCGUUUUCCUCUUUGCGUUUCAAACAGUGAGGUACCACUGGCCAAGGCUGGAGAACAGAUGCGAUUAUGUGUACCGCGCCCUUUGUGUCUCUUACUGAAACACAUGAAUUAACUUUAUCGUUCCGCAGUUCACUAUUAACGUUUACUAAUGUAAAUUACAAGGGGGCUAUUCUUCAGGUAAAAAGUGCAUAGGUAAGAGAAUUUUACUCAAAUAGGACGGAAUUUGUGGUAUACUUUUCUGCAUUUCGUUGAGUCGUACGUAAAUUAUAUUGUUUAUGUAUUUGUAUGUGUACCAUUACGCCAAAAGUAAAUAGGAAAAUUUGCCUACAGGUUAUUCCUUCUGCCUCAAAAAUCUCUCAAAGGAUUAAAUCGGAUCUUGUCGCUCUUUUACUCUAGGCCCUGCAAUUGCUCGGCAUCUAGCUGAGAGUAAAAGCCAAAGCUUUGACCGCAGCCCCAAGGCCGUGCGCGCGGUGGGGAGGGGAAGGGGGGAGGAAGCUCCUAGGAGAAUGAUGUAAGUAAACUCCAGGAGGGCAUGAGGUUUUGUUUUUCUCCACUGAUGUUUUAGGGAGAAAAUAAUGUUACACACACAGUAGAUGCUUAAUAUUUGGUUAAUGAAUGACAAUUAUAAGGGCCUUGGCGGCCCCCCCCCGCCACACACACUAACUUCCCAUCUCUGUCCCUUACAUGGGUAUGUGAGAGAACUUUAUGAAAGAUUUCUGAAAACAAAAAAUACUAGGGAAAAAAAUGCAAGUUUAUUACAAACUUCUAGGAAAACACACUACUUCUAGACAUUGAAAGCCCUCCACAACACCAGAAGCCCUCAAAAUAGUGAUAAUUAUUUGUUUUUAGGUUUCUGUAAAUGGGCUUGCUAGUGGACAGUCCAUUAUUAGAUUAUAUGAUCAUAUUCAUGUUGGGCAAGUUAGCUUUCUUCCUGAGUCACAAACUUCGUUCUUCAUCCUGUCUGCCCUCUUUCUUGAAAAAUGCUAUUUUCACUAAAGUCUGAAAAUUUGGUUGGCUUAGCCCAAAGCCAGCAUUACUGGAAAAGUUCAUUCAGCAAAUCUGUGUCAGGUACAAAGUGCCCGGCACGAUGAUUCAAAAGGUGCGCGUUUCUGAAGCUUAAAGGACCACAUACGGCUAUUUUGGUUACUACUCAAUUAUGCUGUCAAGCAAAGCAAACGCUAGUGAGAUUUAUUUUUACAGUUUCCUUCUGGAGAAAAGGUUCAGUGAAAGCUGAAGUCAGGCUUAGUGUGGAUAUUUUAAUUCAUCUUUUAGUUUGCUGUUCAUUUACAUUUACUUUAUGAUAGCACCAGGUAUACCAAUAAAUUAAUUGAUAAUUUUUUUUUGAAAACUGAAACAGGUGGAGAGAUUUUAUUUCCUGGUGGUUGGAUAGACAGGGUAUUUAUGUUAAAAUACAUAUGUCAGUAUACGAACAACUAUGCUAUAAGACUUUGUCAGUGGUAUUACAAAUAAUCAUAUUUUAUGUAUGGAAUUUUUUUGACAAAGGACGGUCUUGGUAGGUAUUUUAUAACCAUCAAUUAAUUAAACAUUGUUUAAUCCAAGUUUGUUCAUUAUAAGUUUACCUAUUAAUCUUGAGAACAGUUUUAAGUAAUAUACAGCUGGCUCAGAAUUGUUUUUCACUCAAUUUCAAAACACUAAUAUUUCAGUUUGCUCAGAGAAGUACAAUUAUAUACUUAAAUGUUUCUGGUAAACUGAUAAUUUUGCAUGUCUAGGUAACAAAAUUCUUGGCAUUAUUGUAGCAUUUAAAGUUUCAGAUAUUUUUCAGUUCCUUCCCUCAUUUACUUAUUAAGGACUUACUAGGUGCUAGAAUCAGCUUUAUGAUGGGCACCUUCUAUACUAUGGUAAAUAAAAAUAGUCUCUGCCUUUAAGUGUUUUAACUUGUGUACAGUUUAUACCAAUUUUUUUUCCAAAUCGUAGAGAUAAUGAAAUUGUUUUAAUGCAUAUCCGUGCAUUUCUCCAUUAAAUUAAUUGUUUUGCUUGCCUAAAGUAUACAAAUUGAGAUCUUGUGUAAGAUCUAUUAAUAUCUUAGUGUUUAUUAAAUUGCCCUGUUUUUUGGUUUUGGGUUUUGUUUUGCCUAAUAUUUUCAUCAAUACCAUCCAUUUAUUUUACUCUUACAUUUGGAAAUCUUUAUGUCCAAAAUCAAUUGAUUUAUGGUGGCCUUAUGUUUUAUUGUUAUAUCCUUGAUUUAUCAAUUCUUAGUUUGUAGGGUAGCCCAAUAAACUUUUUAAUCGAAACUAAUACUGCCUCCUUGCUUUAAGUAUUGAGUUGCACUACUCAUUUUAUUUGCCAGUUAUUAAAUUAAAUAACUAUUUUAAUAAUUAUUAAUAUUAUUUCUGGGUAUUCCCAUAUAUAUCCUUGAUUAGUAAACUGCAAACAAUUUGAUAAGAUAUUUUAAAAUGGAUGUUAAGUAUUAACUUGAAUAUCAUCGAGAACUGGUACAAUUGGCAAAUUAUCAAUUUUAUUGAAAAUAUUUUAUCUUCAAGAUAAUCUGUCAUAAAAUGAUAGAAAUGAAAAAUUUUAGAAAAUCUUAUUUUAUGCCUACAAGUUCUGUCAUUUGUUAGUGAUAAAAUUAACUUACAGAAACAAAUUUUUAAAAGUAAAAGACGUAUGUAUAUUCUGUAGAUUAUUUCAAACUACCAAAAUUAUUUCAUGCAGAGGAUAAUUAAAGUUACUUUUAGGAUGGCUUAUUUUAACUUUGAUAAAGAGUUAAUUAUAGCUGUUGAUCGGAAGUUGAGCUACAAAAAUAUCAGUCUGUAAAUGUUUUUAUUUCAAGUUUUCAAAGUAAAUACCUUAAUCAAAUUUGUGAUAGUGUUUAUGAUUAUUCAACAUAUUUUAUCCAUUUUUGUUAAGAUGAUAGAAAUGAGUGGUUCUUUUUCCCUGGAUGACUUUCUUCAUGUUAGCCUUUGGGAAUAAGCUUUGUCUUUUCAUUAAUCCUUCUUGCCUCUAAUUAAGGAUUUUGUCUAAAUUUUUAGAUUUUUAUUAUUCAUACCAUCCAUUUAUAAUUCUAUAACUUUCCUAUGUUGUUUUAUAUUUUUGUGUAUCUGUAACUUAUGUUCCUGAAUCAAAGUGAUUGGUUAUGGGUUAUAUUACAUUUCAAGUUGCACUGUGCACUGAAUACUGUAGGGUCCCCCAAAAGUGCAUUUCUGAAAUAUAAAUUCAGUAUAAAAUUAUUUGGGGUCAUUAAAUUUUCAUGAAAGCCUAAUCUUAAUGAAACCUACACAUAUGCUAAAUGUGAAACAAUUAAAAUCUACAUGCAUUUUAAUACUAAACUAAUCUGGAACAACAUCAUUUAAAAAAUGAUUUUAUCUAUGAAAGAACAAUACAAAAUCCACUAAAAAUUUAAUAUCUAAAAUAGGUCUGAAGGGAGUACUUAUGAUGCUAAUUUCAAAGCAUCUCCUCAGGACCAGUGUUUUAAAACUGGGUCAUGUGCCAUUAUGGGUCAUGAAAUAAAUUCAUUGGGUUGAGGUUAGCAUUUUUUUAUUUGAAAUAGAGGAAAGAAUAGAAAAUCUGAGAGUUUAUCACACAGGGUAAAGUCUGUAUUUUUAAAUAAACAUUCCAUUUAUGUGUGUGUAUGAACUGCGUUACCUUGUAAAAUAAUAUUUUCUAUUAUGCAUAUAUGCCAAAAAAAGUAGUGCUUUGUUUUAUCUGUAGUUCAGGUUUUCCUUACUUCCCUCCUUAGAAAAUGAAAAAGAGGAAUGCUAGACAGUUGUGAUUGCCUAAGAAAUAGUGAAGAAUUUUAGAGGAGACACCAGGAUAUUUUAGAAGAGUGUGAUGGUGGUUUCAGAAAGGUGGUUUUAAGGUAAAGGGUAGGUAAUAAAACUAUGUAGGAAUGUCAAAUAUGGUUGAAGUUGUGAGAAGGAAUUAUUUUCCUAGUAGAGCUAAAUUUGGUGUGUUUAGGUUCAUGACUAUUAUUGAUUUGUUGUAGCAUAUUUUCUAAUCUCAGAUGCCCAAUACAGCAAAAUAAUAAAUAUAAGGCAAAAAAUAUUUUUCUACUUCUUCCCACGUUCCCUUUGAUCUUAAAAUGGAUGUUUAUUAUCAUAGGAGUGCAAAGCAGACUGCUACCUUUACAAAUUAUCAUACAAACUAGUUAUUCCCUGAAAAUGAUAGAAACUCCUGAAAAAUAACAAGCUUUCAAUAAGGCUUUUCUUUUUCUAGCCAAAGUAAAUACAAUUUCUUAAAGGAAAUAGUUAACUUUCAUUUGCCAUCUAAUUCAUUCUAUAUAUUUAAAUAAAUGUAUUUUAAAUUGUGUACAAGAUUUAAAAGGGGGAAAUUUCUAAAGGAGAGAAUUGUGUGUAGAAUUGAAAGGGAGACAGUAUACUAUAAGUGAGAUGAAAAUUACCUACCAGACAGAAAAUAAGAAUUAUGUUAUACUGAAAUGUUUUAAUAAAAUUUAGACACUUCAGAAAAUUUAAAACAUUUCACUACUUACAGUUUCACCUAUUUCAGUAUAGAUUUCAGUAUUGUAAGUUUGUUUAAGAGUAUUAAUAAUAAAAGUUUUUUUUCCAGACAUAUGAUACCAGCUCUUUUUCAGUUAUAGAUAUUUAAGAUAUGGUUUGGUUAAAACCUUAGCUAAACAAUAAAAUUUUCUAGAGAAUUGAUGUGAGAAUCUCUCACUUAUUGAACCAAAGCUUAUUCACCCCAAAUGUUUCACCAAGACAGUACAUAACCCUAUUGAACUAAGAAAGGAAUUAUAAUACUAACCAGCAGAGGGAGCCAAGUCAGUCCUGAAAGAUAGGAGUACAAAGAAAGACCACAUGACUUCCUGUUUUGAGUUGUGGCAGCUGUUCUCUUUUUGAGUUUAGCCUACCAAAAAGCCUAGUAAAAGGAUAAGGAAGGGUUACCAAUGUAUCAGAUGUAUCAAAUUCUGACAAUUUUAACUGUCAGAAUUACCUUGCAGGAAGCAAACUGAAAGAAAACCUUAAAGAAAUGCUUAAAUUAAGGGUAAUAAUAUGUGACAUAAAAGAAUUAUUUAAAAAACAGAUAUUAAAAACUCAGUAAAAUAUGCAAACUUAGGUUAAUUUUCUUUCUACUAUAGGUGGUGAAACUUAGGUGGAUCAGAACAAAGCAAUGAUAAGCUUAUCAGCCAUUAAGCAGAAGCAAUUCAAGUAGAAAUAUAAAAGUAGAAAUGUCUCUGUAUUAUGACCUAAGAUGGAAAACCAUAGAAAAUAGUACCCUAGGGCCAUGAUGAAUUACUAGCUAGAUGUAACAGUAAACCAUUUUUUAAUUAUUCCAUUUUUAUUGACAGCUGAAAUGAGGCUCUAAAUAGGCACAUUUUAAAAUGAUAAAGUUGGCACAAACAGAUGGAUCACACAUUAAAAUUAUAUGCACUUUGAUAAUCUAAAAAAUGAUACAUUUAAAUAAAAGAUAAUUAUAGUGAAAUAAUAUAAGGUGAUUUUUUACUUUAAAAGUAGAAGAUAGGAGUUCCCACUGUGGUGUAAAGGGUUAAGGAUCCAGCUUUGUCUCUGCAGUGACUUGGGUCACUGCUGAGAUGUGGGUUCGAUCCCCGCCUGGCAGGUAGGUUAAAGGAUCUGUCAAUGCUGCAGCUUCAGCAUAGGCUGCAGCUGCAACUCAGAUUCAAUCCCUGACCCAGGAACUUCCAUUUGUUUACCCUUUAUAAACACAACAAAAAGUAAUACCUUGUUUUGUGACAUGUGUUUGGAGGAAUAUAGCAGCUAAAUGCUAACUGUACUGUCAGCUUAUUUAAUAUCUUCAAAGAACCUCAAAAUCGCUGAUAGUAAGUAAAAUCAGAAGAGUGGACAGCGAACUGCAUCAAAAAAAUUUAAAGGCCCAAACAAUUUUAGUUUAAUAAACUAAAUUAUGGUAGUCUAGCCACUUAUUUAUUGCAAGGCUUCUGGAAACAUAUGCCCAAAGCAUAGAAGGAUAAUGGAUUCAGGCAAACUUUAGCUAUAGGUAUACUUAGUUAUGUGAUUAUUCAUUCCAAAAAUAAACUUCUUGGACACUUACUCUCACCAUAGGAUGGAACAUGUCUUCAUUAUGGACGAGACAAAAUUCUUACAUCUCGUUGAAAGAUUUUAAUUUCAUUAAUAUGUGAAUAGUCAUAGAAAUUCAGUGUGCAACCCACUGAAUCCAAGGAAUGCACUUAGAAACACGUCAUUUAAUACUGAGUACUAGAAGGUGGACUUAAACCUCUAUAGGUCAGUUCUGUUGUAAUACUACAUUACACUGACAUUAUUCUAUAUACUGUCAUCUGAUGUUAAAACAGUUAAUCAUAGCAAUAAUAUCCAAAAAAAAGUUAAAUUCAUCUAACAUCAGCCCUAGAGACAUGUUAGUGCCAAAAAAAUAAUUCAACCAGCAUUAUUACUAAUUAAUGUGCUUCUUUUACACACAAGUUGCUAUAAAUAUGGGCUAUUAAAAUUGCAUAAACAGCCUGAACUUUUCUAUCAUAUUUUUAAUUUUGUCAGUAUUUCCACCCAUGGAAAAUGCUAUAAUGAGCUUUUAAAUUUUUCAUUAAUAAAGUGAUAACUUUGCCAUGAACCAUUUCUUAAUUGAUAAGCAUAAAAAUGGGUUAACAUAAAAUUCCAAUAAAAACUAUUUGUCACCAAAGUCAAAAUUUCAGUCUAAAAUACAUAGUAUAGUUUUCUGCUUUAUCUAGUUUUAUUUAACAAUAUAAAGCUCUGUAAAGUCAAAACCAAAGGAAGGAAAGAAAAUAGCUCAUACUUUGUCUUACUCCAGAAUAGGAAAUGGUGACAGAUUAAGAAACACAUCAAGGAGUUCCCGUUGUGGCGCAGUGGUUAACGAAUCCGACUAGGAACCAUGAGGUUGCGGGUUCGGUCCCUGCCCUUGCUCAGUGGGUUAACGGUCCGGCGUUGGGCGUUGUCGUGAGCUGUGGUGUAGGUUGCAGACGCGGCUCAGAUCUCGCGUUGCUGUGGCUCUGGUGUAGGCCGGUGGCUACAGCUCCGAUUCGACCCCUAGCCUGGGAACCUCCAUAUGCCGCAGGAGCGGCCCAAGAAAUAGCAGCAACAACAACAACAACAAAAAGACAAAAGACAAAAAAAAAAAAAAAAAAAGAAACAUAUCAAAAAAGUGCCGGUGAAUAAAAUCAAGGGGUAUGAGUAAAGAAUUCUGCUUUCUCUAAAAAAAAAUAAUACAUUUCAGGAAUUUAUUCCCAUGUAUGAAUACCGUUUUCAACACUACUCUUAUUUAUUUACUUAUUUAUUUUUUGCUUUUUAGGCUGCACCUGCGGCACAUGGAGGUUCCCAGGCUAGGGCUCUAAUCGGAGCUGUAGCCGCUGGCCUACACCACAACUCCCAGCAAUGCCAGAUCCUUCACCCACUGAGCGAGGCCAGGGAUUGAACCUAAAACCUCAUGGUUCCUAGUCGGAUUUGUUUCUCCUGUGCCAUGACAGGAACUUCCACUACUCUUGACAUUUGGAAUACUUUAUUUUCUCUGAAAAAAAGGAAAAAAAAAAAAAAAAAAGCACCAAACCCAAACUGCUUUAGUAGUCAUGUUUCUAGUUUAUCAUCUUUUGGUCUUACCUGUUGAAUUCUGUAUCUCUUCUAAAGCACCUCCCUAGUGUAGUUUUCUCACUAUUGCCUUCUUCCUAAUUCUGCCAUCAACAUUCAUCAGCGUUCUGUAAUAUAUUUAGAUGAUUUCUCAUGAUCAUAUCCAGGCAAACUAUGUAACUUGCUUUAAGUAAGGACAGCUUAUUAUGAAUUUAGAAGAGCUAUAGUAAUACUCAAAAAUAUAUGCAAAAGUAUUUUUAAUUUAAAGAACUUACUGUACGAGCUCCCGUCGUGGCUCAGCAGUUAAUGAAGCUGGCCCGUAUCCAUAAGGACAUGGGUUUGAUCCCUGGCCUCUCAUUGGGUUAAGGAUCCCUCACAGCUGUGAGCUGUGGUGUAGGUCUCAGAUUCAGAUUGGAUCUUGUGUUGCUGUGGCUAUGAUGCAGCCUGGGCAGCUGCAGCUCUGAUUCAGUCCCUAGCCUGGGAAUCUAUAUA
rnacentral:lncRNA from 1 species